rfam:Dinoroseobacter shibae DFL 12, complete genome.
GGAGACGUGGCCGAGUGGUCGAAGGCGCUCCCCUGCUAAGGGAGUAGGCGGGAAACCGUCUCGUGGGUUCGAAUCCCAUCGUCUCCG